ACUAAUAUUAAAUUGAAAUCACCGUUCCGCCCACCCAAACAGAGCUACGCUCGAUGAAAUGAAAGCAGGCGCCUCUCUGAAUUCUGGAAACGUGAAGAACCGCCGGCACAAAAUACACACCUGACCUUAAAAUGUUUCAUUUUAUCUUCAAAACCUCUCUCCAUCUUCAACAAACCAGAACCCGGAAUGCCAAUAUCAGAUCCCUCACCACUCUCAGCAUUUGUGACUACCCAGCACUCACUGACUAUCUCACAAACACUUUGGCUUUCACCCCAGAGUCAGCUCUUCAAGUGUCCAAGAAAAUCCAUGGUAGACCCCCCAACAAUCCCUACCCAGUCCACUCCCUCUUCGAACAUUACGGUUUUACCCCUACCCACAUAGCCAAAAUCAUCACCAUAUGCCCAACCUUCCUUUGGGCAAACCCAGAAAAAACCCUCAAGCCCAAGCUAGACUUUCUUGCCCAAAAUGGCAUUUCUGGUCAAAACCUUGUAAUCACAAUCACCAACAACCCCAGAAUUCUAGAGCGGAGUUUGAACAAACAGAUUGCGCCCUGUAUUGGGUUCCUUAAGAGCUUUCUUGGGUCUGCCUCGGCUUUGUUGUCGCACUUUUCGGUCAAGCGUGGUACUGCGGUUGUGCUCAGAUUUUCUGACUCUAUGGGCGCGAACGCUGAGACUCUAAGACAACACGGUGUGCCUCACAGUAACAUUCUGAAGAUGAUCGCGUGCCAGCCACGGAUAUUUUCAAGGGAUGUUGAGGUUUUCAGUAAGAUUGUGAGGGAAGUUGAGGAACUGGGUUUCAAUCCGUUGAGCAUGAUGUUCAUCCAUGGCGUGUGUACGCUUUUUUCGAUGAGGAAGGACAAGUGGGUUUCAAAAUUUGAGGUGUUGAAGAGUUUUGGGUGGUCGGAGGAGGAGUUUCAGGCUUUGUUCUUGAAGCAACCCCCGGUAAUGAGGUCGUCGUCGGAGCGAUUAAAGAGGGCAUUGGACUUUUUCAUGAACAAGAUGGGGUGGGGCACUUCGGACAUUCUCAAGUACCCAGUUUUGCUUUGCUUGAGCUUUGAAAAGAGGGUGUUGCCGAGGUGGUCGAUACUUCAAGUUUUGAUUGCCAAAGGUGUUAUAACCAAGAGCAAGAAGACUACUGCGAAGGCAUUUAUGCAAACUGAGGACAAGUUUGUGAGCGAGUUUGUGAAGGGAUAUGAAGAGCAUGCCCCUGAACUUUUGGAGAUUUACCAAAAAAAGCUCCAAGGUUUAUGAUAUGUGACUCUGUUUCCUUGCAAUGAGAGUAUUAUUUCUGUACCAGGAAUGCUGUAAAUAACCUGAAACUUGACAAUGCGCAUGUGUGUCUAUUUUUCUAGAGUGUAUAUUGAGGAAAAGGCAUGAGAACUACUAGCACUUUUAGAUAUGAUUUAUUGGAUGAUGGAUUGAAAUUGAGGAUGAGAUGACAUGAAGCUACUAGGCCUGGCAACUUAUCAGUGGGUAGUAGGUUGGAUGGCUGGUGUGGUCCUGAGAUUGGUCAUCAAGGAGUUUGAAGGUUUUUCAUGGACCAAUUGCUUCUCAGUUCCCACUGUAUUUGUUGUGUCAAAAGAACAUGAUGGUCACUGUAUUUGUUUGAAGGUUUUUGUGUAUUUAAUUUUUUUGGGGCCUCCAUUUUCAGUUCCAUGCUACCUGUGUAAUCACUAUGACUACGCCUCCAAUGUGAUGCCUUUUCUGAUAUAAGAACAAAUGGGGAAAUCCUGCAAAUAGGAAUUCUUUAUAUGGCAGACUUUUUAUAUUUGGUUCCUUUUAACUUAUCAAAAAAUAAUAAUAAAGGUUUUCUUACUAUCUUUAUCAUCCUUCUCACUUUUGCAAACAUUUCUGAAUAUCUUUUCUUUUUAAAUUUUAUCUGCGGCAUGUCUAUGAAAGAAAAUUGAAAUCAUUAUGCCUACAUAUGUGAAGGAGUUUCUAUUUUUUUUAUUUUUUUUUGCCAGAUGUGAAGGAGUUCUUUUUAAAUCCGUAUGUUUUUAUGCAGUUGGUUUCGACCUGAACAACAAAUCAACGAUGAGCAGCUGGCCUACUUCUCCAUUCAUGACAGGUCUUUCCUUUCAAGGAGGUUUCAAGUUUUGGGAGUCGAGGAGAUUUCAUGUAAGAUGUUAUUGGAUCUUCAAAAGUCUUUUGAUUUGGAUACCAAAAGUAGAGAAAAUAUUGACAAUCAUAAUCUGAUUGAAAGGAGUUGUCUGGCUAAUCCAUGAUAUUGCCCUUGGGGGGUUUGUAGGACACAUCUUUUUGUUCUAGGCAGAUCUUGAUGCUGAUGGAACCAAUGGAAUGAUUCGACCUUUGAGGGGCCGAAAGAAUGGGAUUGGUGAAACACUUUCCUAUCAAUUUACUCUUUCCCUCUGUAGUCUAAUGGAACUGGCAGAAAAAUAAAUCCAUAUUCCUAUACCUUCCAACAAA